UAGAGGAAGUAAAAGUCGUAACAAGGUUUCCGUAGGUGAACCUGCGGAAGGAUCAUUAUUGAAAUAAACUUGAUAAGUUGUUGCUGGUUCUCUAGGGAGCAUGUGCACACUUGUCAUCUUUGUAUCUCCACCUGUGCAUCUUUUGUAGACCUUUGGGUAUCUCUCUGAUUGCUUUUAGCAUUCAGGAUUGAGGAUUGACUUUUUCCGUCUUUCCUUACAUUUCCAGGUCUAUGUUUUCUCAUAUACUCUAAUGUAUGUUAAUAGAAUGUAAUAAAUAGGCCUUUGUGCCUAUAAAUUGAUACAACUUUCAGCAACGGAUCUCUUGGCUCUCGCAUCGAUGAAGAACGCAGCGAAAUGCGAUAAGUAAUGUGAAUUGCAGAAUUCAGUGAAUCAUCGAAUCUUUGAACGCACCUUGCGCUCCUUGGUAUUCCGAGGAGCAUGCCUGUUUGAGUGUCAUUAAUAUAUCAACCCUUUUGGUUGAAUGUGGGUUUGCUGGCCGCUUUUGAGGUCAGCUCUCCUUAAAUGCAUUAGCGGACAACUUUUUGCCRAACGCUCAUUGGUGUGAUAAUUAUCUACGCUAUUGACGUGAAGCAGGUUCAGCUUCUAAUAGUCCAUUGACUUGGACAAAUUUAUUAAUGUGACCUCAAAUCAGGUAGGAUUACCCGCUGAACUUAAGCAUAUCA
rnacentral:rRNA from 1 species